rnacentral:rRNA from 1 species
GACAGAGGUGCCGAGCGUUAGGCGGAAUCACUGGGCUUAAAGCGUGUGUAGGCGGACUUCUAAGUACCUUGUGAAAUCCCACGGCUCAACCGUGGAACUGCUUGGUAUACUGGUCGUCUUGAGCCACCUAGGGGCAACCGGGAACAAACGGUGGAGCGGUGAAAUGCGUAGAUAUCGUUUGGAACGCCAAUGGUGAAAACAGGUUGCUGGGGGUGUGCUGACGCUGAGACACGAAAGCCAGGGGAGCAAACGGG